rnacentral:tRNA from 1 species
AUUUAUAUAAUAUAAAAAGUAUAUUUAAUUUCCAAUUAAAUUGUUUAAUUAUUUUAAUUAAUAUAAAUA